GUAACGGCGAGUGAAGCGGCAACAGCUCAAAUUUGAAAUCUGGCCUCUUUGGGGUCCGAGUUGUAAUUUGUAGAGGAUGUUUCGGGUACCGCCUCGGUUUAAAUUUCUUGGAACAGAAUGUCAGAGAGGGUGAGAAUCCCGUCUUGGACCGGCGGUAGGGCCCAUGUGAAACUCCUUCGACGAGUCGAGUUGUUUGGGAAUGCAGCUCAAAAUGGGUGGUAAAUUUCAUCUAAAGCUAAAUAUUGGCCAGAGACCGAUAGCGCACAAGUAGAGUGAUCGAAAGAUGAAAAGAACUUUGAAAAGAGAGUUAAACAGUAUGUGAAAUUGUUGAAAGGGAAGCGCUUGCAACCAGACUUGAGCGCGGCGGUUCCCCCUUCCUUUUGGUUGGGUUACUCCGCCGUGUCCAGGCCAACAUCGGUUCUGGGGGUCGGUUAAAGGCCCGGGGAAUGUACCUACUCCUUCGGGGGUAGACUUAUAGCCCCGGGUGUCAUGCGACCACCCGGGACCGAGGAACGCGCUUCGGCUCGGAUGUUGGCGUAAUGGUUGUCAGCGACCCGUCUUGAAACACGGACCAA
rnacentral:rRNA from 1 species